UGUAGUUAACGUUCAGCCCUUGUCCCUUCUAGUGUAGAGGAGACAACACCUCAUCUCGAUCUCUCCUUUCCUAGAGGGAGGGAGAGAGACAGAGGUAAAGCGAUAGAGGGAGGGAGAGACUGAAGUGAAAGGGACCUAGCAGGCAUGCAUCGAUCAUAGAGAGAGACACUUGGAGAGAGAGACAGACUUAGAGAGAGAGAGACUUGGAAGGAGAGAGAGUCUUGGAGAGAGAGAGAGAGAGAGAGCCUUGGUGAGAGAUAGAGUCUUUGAGAGAGUUAGAGAGAGAGACUUGUAGGGAGAGAGAGAGAGAGACUUGUAGGGAGAGAGAGAGAGACUUACUUUGAGGGAGAGAGAAACUUGGAGUGAGAGAGAGAGAGAAAGACUUGGAGUGAGAGAGAGAGAAUUAGAGGAAGAGAUGGAGGUAGAGCGAUAUAGAGGGAGGGAGAGAUUAGAGCAAGAAAGAGGUGAUGAAGUGAAAGUGAGCUAACAUGCAUCGAUCAUGAGACUGCGGGGGUAAAGGUUCCGUGUGAGAUCCUUCUGUCUACAUAGCAGUGCAAAGGCUGCCGUUGUCAAAUAAUCUUUUUCUCCCCUUCCUCUGUCAAUGAGGUUAUCCUGCUUAUCUGGUCAAUCAAUUCAACUUUAAACGUUAGCAACUUAAGCCCUCAAACGGUUUGCUAAUUGGAGGCCACACUAAGAAUGACACUUAUUUAAACAUCUAAAUUAAUUGUCAUUUGUAACAACGUGAGUGGGGGUAGUGGUUUUCCAAACCCUUGUUAGUAACUUCAGGUUUCUGCAGUGUUUGUUUUCCACAAUGCCAAGAGGUCAGUUUCUAAGAUGUAUUUCUAGUUUUCAUCACUGGAUGAUGCUAGCGGCCUGGGCUGGUGUUAAGGGCUGUCAGUAUAAUAAUAGAACAAGAGGAUUCUCUCACACUGUGAAUUAAAUUUGCAAUACAAACAAAAAGCUGUUUUUGGCAGCUGAACAGCAGUGCUACAAUUCAAGUAAUCCACACUUGGCGUCAUUUAGCCCUGCUUUGGCUGAUGUACUUCAAAGGCUUUUUGUUUAUGAAUAAACCUCUUUUGAAAAGGAGUUUAAAGAGAUUUUUUGAAUUUCGUCUGCGGCCGGAACUCAAUAAUGCUGACGCAAAAUGGACAAGCACCAAAACGGGGCGGCAUGUCAAUAGAGGGCUUUGGAUAUUCGACGAAAUAGAGACUAUUCCCAUUUUUCUCAAACAAUUAGCGAGAAAGUGCUAAACUAAUCCCAUCAAAACUAGGGGCACACAUACAAAAUGCUGCUGAGAUUUUUUUUAACUUCGGAACUAGCC
ensembl:lncRNA